rnacentral:rRNA from 1 species
UCCCUAUGGGGUGCAGCAGGCGCGAAACCUCCACAAUGCGCGAAAGCGUGAUGGGGUUAGCCCGAGUGCUAUCCGAAAAGGAUGGCUUUUCCUUGGCGUAAAAACCCAUGGGAAUAAAGGGGGGGCAAGACUGGUGUCAGCCGCCGCGGUAAUACCAGCUCCCUGAGUGGUAAGGACGAUUAUUUGGCUUAAAGCGUCCGUAGCCGGCUUAGUGAGUCUUUUGUUAAAUCCAAUGAUUUAAUCAUUGAACUGCAAGAGAUACUGCUAUGCUAGAGGACGGGAGAGGUCGACGGUAGUCCAGGGGUAGGGGUGAAAUCCUAUAAUCCUUGGAGGACCACCAGUGGCGAAGGCGGUCGACUAGAACGUGCCUGACGGUGAGGGACGAAAGCUGGGGGAGCGAACCGGAUUAGAUACCCGGGUAGUCCCAGCUGUAAACGAUGCAGACUCGGUGAUGAGUAGGCUUCGUGCCUAUUCAGUGCCGCAGGGAAGCCGUUAAGUCUGCCGCCUGGGGAGUACGGUCGCAAGACUGAAACUUAAAGGAAUUGGCGGGGGAGCACCACAAGGGGUGAAGCUUGCGGUUUAAUUGGAUUCAACGCCGGAA